ACGCUCGACACCUACGGGAUGCAGCAGUGGGGAAUAUUGGGCAAUGGGCGCAAGCCUGACCCAGCAACGCCGCGUGAAGGAAGAAGGCUUUCGGGUUGUAAACUUCUUUUGUCAGGGAACAGUAGAAGAGGGUACCUGACGAAUAAGCCACGGCUAACUACGUGUCAGCAGCCGCGGUAAUCUGAGCGGGCUGGCAAGGC
rnacentral:rRNA from 1 species